GUAUAUUCAUUUAACAAGGGGAGUCUCUGAGGAGCUAUCAAAAACUGCUUGCCAUCUUUCCAAAUCAUCUCUGUCUGCAGUGACCAUGUCUUAAUCCUGAAGGAAAACAAGGUGGAAAUUGAUUUUUACUUCUCUGCAGCUAAGUAUGUGGCAGUCUUGGCCACAUGGUGACUCAGCAGAGGAGCCUAUGUACUGGCUGUCCUGAUGCUCUUCCUGAUUCAACUGAUUCUCUACACUUGAUCUUAGCCAAAAGGCCGAGAAGCAAUGAUUCAACUGAUUCUCAAAAGGACACCGCUGCAGGAAUAAACCCACUUCUAAAUAUGGUACACUUGGAAAGUUGUCCAGCUCGCAAUGUCAGAGUCACAGACUUCAUGCACACUCAUCUCAAGUCAAUGUUAUCUAACACAUUUCCACUAAUUAUUGGAUGACACUAGCAAGAAACUCUGAUAUUUUUCACCUAACCUUUGCUAAUUUAAAUGUGGCCAGCCCACCCUCAUACUGCAUUGUGAUGGGGAUAUAAAAGCCAAUGAAAGAUAUCAUUAAUUGUUAA
rnacentral:lncRNA from 1 species